rnacentral:rRNA from 1 species
GAUGAACGCUGGCGGCGUGCUUAACACAUGCAAGUCGAACGGUGAAGGCGGAGCUUGCUCUGCUGGAUCAGUGGCGAACGGGUGAGUAACACGUGAGCAAUCUGCCCCUGACUCUGGGAUAAGCGCUGGAAACGGCGUCUAAUACUGGAUACGAGCUGCGAAGGCAUCUUCAGCAGCUGGAAAGAACUUCGGUCAGGGAUGAGCUCGCGGCCUAUCAGCUUGUUGGUGAGGUAACGGCUCACCAAGGCGUCGACGGGUAGCCGGCCUGAGAGGGUGACCGGCCACACUGGGACUGAGACACGGCCCAGACUCCAACGGGAGGCAGCAGUGGGGAAUAUUGCACAAUGGGCGAAAGCCUGAUGCAGCAACGCCGCGUGAGGGACGACGGCCUUCGGGUUGUAAACCUCUUUUAGCAGGGAAGAAGCGAAAGUGACGGUACCUGCAGAAAAAGCGCCGGCUAACUACGUG